rnacentral:misc_RNA from 1 species
UUUCCGUAGGUGAACCUGCGGAAGGAUCAUUACUGAGCGUGGGCCCUCUGGGUUCUACCUUCUACCCGUGUUGUUUGUACCUAGUUGCUUCGGUGAGCCCGCCUCACGGCCGCCGGAGGGCAUUUGCCACCGGGCUCGCGAUCGCCGAAGACACCCCAUAACAUUGUCUGAAGUUUGCAGUCAGUGCUAAAACUAAUUAAGUUAAAACUUUCAACAACGGAUCUCUUGGUUCCG